rnacentral:rRNA from 1 species
AUUGAACGCUGGCGGCAUGCCUUACACAUGCAAGUCGAACGGCAGCACUGGUGCUUGCACCUGGUGGCGAGUGGCGAACGGGUGAGUAAUACAUCGGAACAUGUCCUGUAGUGGGGGAUAGCCCGGCGAAAGCCGGAUUAAUACCGCAUACGAUCCACGGAUGAAAGCGGGGGACCUUCGGGCCUCGCGCUAUAGGGUUGGCCGAUGGCUGAUUAGCUAGUUGGUGGGGUAAAGGCCUACCAAGGCGACGAUCAGUAGCUGGUCUGAGAGGACGACCAGCCACACUGGGACUGAGACACGGCCCAGACUCCUACGGGAGGCAGCAGUGGGGAAUUUUGGACAAUGGGCGAAAGCCUGAUCCAGCAAUGCCGCGUGUGUGAAGAAGGCCUUCGGGUUGUAAAGCACUUUUGUCCGGAAAGAAAUCCUUGACUCUAAUACAGUCGGGGGAUGACGGUACCGGAAGAAUAAGCACCGGCUAACUACGUG